rnacentral:rRNA from 1 species
GAUGAACGCUGGCGGCGUGCCUAAUACAUGCAAGUCGAGCGAACAGACGAGGAGCUUGCUCCUCUGACGUUAGCGGCGGACGGGUGAGUAACACGUGGAUAACCUACCUAUAAGACUGGGAUAAAUUCGGGAAACCGGAGCUAAUACCAGAUAAUAUAUUGAACCGCAUGGUUCAAUAGUGAAAGGCGGCUUUGCUGUCACUUAUAGAUGGAUCCGCGGCGCAUUAGCUAGUUGGUAAGGUAACGGCUUACCAAGGCAACGAUGCGUAGCCGACCUGAGAGGGUGAUCGGCCACACUGGAACUGAGACACGGUCCAGACUCCUACGGGAGGCAGCAGUAGGGAAUCUUCCGCAAUGGGCGAAAGCUUGACGGAGCAACGCCGCGUGAGUGAUGAAGGUCUUCGGAUCGUAAAACUCUGUUGUUAGGGAAGAACAAAUGUGUAAGUAACUAUGCACGUCUUGACGGUACCUAAUCAGAAAGCCACGGCUAACUACGUG